GUUCACCAAUAAUAGCUUAGUUGCUUAGAGCGUGGUGCUGAAAAUGCCAAGGGUGCAGGGUCGAUCUCUGUAUGGGACA